AAUCAACGCUGGCGGCGUGCCUAACACAUGCAAGUCGAACGAGAAAGGGGACCUCGGUCCCUGAGUACAGUGGCGCACGGGUGAGUAACACGUGACUUAUCUACCCUCGAGUGGGGAAUAACUUCGGGAAACCGAGGCUAAUACCGCAUAAUACCCACGGGUCAAAGGAGCAAUUCGCUUGAGGAGGAGGUCGCGGCCGAUUAGUUAGUUGGCGGGGUAAUGGCCCACCAAGACGGUGAUCGGUAUCCGGCCUGAGAGGGCGCACGGACACACUGGAACUGAAACACGGUCCAGACUCCUACGGGAGGCAGCAGUGGGGAAUUUUGCGCAAUGGGGGAAACCCUGACGCAGCAACGCCGCGUGGAGGAUGAAGUCUCUUGGGACGUAAACUCCUUUCGAUCGGGACGAUUAUGACGGUACCCGCAGAAUAAGCUCCGGCUAACUUCGUG
rnacentral:rRNA from 1 species